GACAGAGGAUGCAAGCGUUAUCCGGAAUGAUUGGGCGUAAAGCGUCUGUAGGUGGCUUUUUAAGUCCGCCGUCAAAUCCCAGGGCUCAACCCUGGACAGGCGGUGGAAACUACCAAGCUGGAGUACGGUAGGGGCAGAGGGAAUUUCCGGUGGAGCGGUGAAAUGCGUAGAUAUCGGAAGGAACACCGGUGGCGAAAGCGGCGCGCUGGAUCCCUACUGACGCUG
rnacentral:rRNA from 1 species